UGCAAGUCGAACGGAAAGGCCGGGUGCUUGCACCUGGUACUCGAGUGGCGAACGGGUGAGUAACACGUGGGUGAUCUGCCCUGCACUUCGGGAUAAGCCUGGGAAACUGGGUCUAAUACCGGAUAGGACCAUUGGUUGGUACUGGUGGUGGAAAGUUUUUCGGUGCAGGAUGAGCUCGCGGCCUAUCAGCUUGUUGGUGGGGUAAUGGCCUACCAAGGCGGCGACGGGUAGCCGGCCUGAGAGGGUGGACGGCCACAUUGGGACUGAGACACGGCCCAGACUCCUACGGGAGGCAGCAGUGUGGAAUCUUCCGCAUUGGACGAAAGUCUGACGGA
rnacentral:rRNA from 1 species